CUCUCCUGUUGGAUCAUUUUGUGGAUUCUCACCACUUUCUCCUUAUUUAUUUCCCAUUUCACGCCCGUCAUUUUUCUCCUGGCCUGACGGGGAAUAAUUCUCUCCCUCUCCCCUCUCUUUUAUUUUGCUGGAGGGCUUUGAAAGGUUCUAAAUCAAUGCCGAUCAGAGAGGUCCUUGAAGGAGGUUGCAGGAGAGUGGAGGAAAAGUUGGCCAAAAAUCUCACUCACCAGCACGGGAAUUCAUCAGCACAUUCCUAUGUGGACCCACACAUGUAUGACCACACAUCAUGAAUUCAGAAAGGCACAUACAGAAAUGCACGAGCCUAUCGUACCCCUACAUUUUAAAUAGGCACACAAGGACUAGAAUUUUUGACUCUAUCUCUCCCAACCUACCGUGGUCACAUCAGAAUCUGGAGGUGUCAUCUCCACCAGGUUGAUGUAAUAAGGAGCAUCCUUCCAGGUGGGGUGGUUGUCAUUGAUGUCCAAGAGAGUGAUGUUCACCUGGAAAGUGGAGGAAGAGAGCAUGGGAUGGGCGAUUCUCCUGGGACAAAUCUCUACCCAGCUAGCCUCAUCCUCAAUAUUCAUCGUCCUGUGGAUUAUUGGACAGGAGGAUAAACAAACCACAGUCCGGUCCUGCUUAGUGCAAAUAAUAAAUGACCCAAAGUGA